CAUGUAUUUACACCAAAAAAAUGGUGUACAUCGAAAAACAAGAAAUGUGUUUCCUUUUUAUACGUAAUUGAUAGUUGUGUGAUGGUAAGAUUCUCCUUAUCAUAAGGCAGUUGUUAAACUCUUAGAUGUCAUUUAGUUACUUUUGCAGAUACAUAAAUUUUCUAUAUUUUUAUAGAGUUCAAAUAAAUUAUACAGAAUAGAGCAAGC
rnacentral:lncRNA from 1 species